rnacentral:lncRNA from 1 species
AUGGAAAUAGAAGGAAAAUUAUUUUGCAAUAAAAAAAUAAGUCCAAUAAAAUAAGUCCAAUAAAAUUGGACUUAAUGCAUCACUCCCCAAUGUUUUGAAAAACUGCUGAGUAAAUUCAGUUCUUCAAAUGCACACCAUUCUGAUACUGAGUGUAAUUUCCUUAGAUUUAUUUUCUAUUUGUAUCACUUGGGUAAAAAUAUGUUAAAAGGAAAAUUAUUAAUAAUACUUUCAGUUCCCUUUCUGGUUUGUCCAGUGAGCAAUGAAUGUCGUAAUGCCAUUAAAAGAGAUCUUAUCUGAACUCGCAGUAAUAUAGUCAUUUGGAAAAUAGCUCAAGAGAGCUAUUUGUUUGUAUGAUAGCCAUUCAAAUUGUUUCUUCUUCUUCUUGCUUUAAAAUGCAACUUUGGCAGUUGAGGCUGUGACCAUAAGAAACCCAACUCCCUGCUGAAAUGUGGAAGGAUCAUAGUAGAUGGAGGACUACAUCAGACUAUAACUACAUGGGUCUCUACUCUGGGGGGUAGUGGCAGCAGGGCUUGGGACAACUGUGGAAGCUGUAUCACACUGGUGGUGGCUGCUGCUGUUCUUGUUGCUGUCCCUCUAAGCAAGUGCCCAAGGCUAGUGGCAUGGUCACUCACCCCUCAUCCACUACUAGAUCACAUCCCUAAGUAUGUGGUUAUCUUCACAGAGAGCACAUUCGAUCCUCUCCUUCCAGCACAUGGCAUACUGAAGCCAGCAAUCAAUAAGAUCAGUCCCAUUAGGUGCUGGGGACUAGGAGAAAUGCAUGAUAAUUUCCUGAAACAGUCUUUUCAGAAGGACUCCCUGGGGUUUGUCUACUUGCCAGCCUCCUGUAUGGCUCAUCUUCCUCCCUCCCAAAUACAAAGAGACACAGCUAGGAAAUGUCACAGCCAGCUCACCCAGUACCUGGAAGAUCAUUCUUAGGUUUGAACACUUGGACUUCAAGCCUGCGCGAUGGGAUGCGAACAUCCAUUUCCCACUGGAAUACUGCAAAAGUCUCAGCCCAGGGAUCUUAUUUAAAAAGAAAGAAAAGGGAAGAACAGGAGAGGAUGCUGGAAGGACAAGAGAUCUGGAAUCAGAAGCAGCAUGAUCUGCAAUGCUUAUUGGCCCCAACUGGCUGCACAACUGGCAUGAGACGAGCUAACAUGUGUGGUGCUUUCUUUGGUGUACCACUGCAGAGCAUGUGCCACAAAUGGUAUGAGCAGCCUGUGUGUGUGGCACAACAGAUCAAGAAGGGGAUGGGCAGAACAGUAGCAGACAAGGCAGGAAGCAGAAAAAGCAGCAGAUCCAGCAGGGGAAGAGGAUCAAAGUGGCACUCAAAGAUGGUACAGGGCUAACCCCCUAGAGGAGUGGGUGUUGGCCCCACUGGGAAAAAAGAAUUGAUUUAGGAUGCUUGUCUGCUGGCCUUCUGUCACACAAUUUCCCCUUUCAUCCUUAACACUCCCAACAUCUGCAAGUUCCUGACUUUCUCAGGGAGAGCUGGUGGCAUUGGGAGCACAAGCUAAGAACACAAAAAAUCAUUGCCAGCAAUGUGAGAUAAAGAGAGGAGGUGUGUAAUAUUUCCUAGUGCCCAGUGCCUCAGGCACUGGAAUGGACAUUAAUGGCACAUAGAAAUACAUCCCAAGUAUUGUCUAGCUCUGUCUGUACCUGCUUGUCAAAUUCCUGUUGGUCCUGACUCUUAGUCGUUCUUUGGUAACACUUGUGUAAGUUGUCCUGCCAAUAAAACCCAAUUGAAUUGAAUUAAUUACA